GAGCUUUAGGUAUUGCCCUACAUGACUGAUGGCCAUAGAAUUAUGGAGCUGAGGCCUGGUGACAGGAGCCUAGUGUAUGGGAGGGUGGCAACCUUCCUUCCAUCCCUUGAAGAGUUAUCUGCUGGGUCUCCGGGAUUUUAACCUAGCUCAGCCAGACAAGAGGCUGCCUUUCAUGGUCACACAGUUUUGUUCCAAGAAGAUAUCUGCCUUUUUGGUAGAUGCAGUCUCUGAACGAGAGGAAGUCUGCAAAAUUGCUGAUGAAAUGACCACAGGCAAUUUGUUUCUCCUGUCACAUAGCUAGAGGUCUAGAGAGCAAGAGUUCAAAGCCUGGUCUGGACGCAAGAGACUGGACUGCUCACAUCUGUGGAGGUCUUUGAUGCAGCGAAAUCUGCUUUCUCAGGCUUUCUCUGACCACUAGUGUAAAGAAUUACGAAUUCUAGCUCGCCCAUAUAAAAGACCCACAAUCCAGGGUCAUGACUCAAUGUUCCCAGCAGUGAUGGCCAAGCCACUCAGUUACAGCUAGUAAAGUAUAAGAAGAAUUCUUCAGGGCUCCUCUUCUUCUCUUUGCUUAAAGAAAAACAAUAUCCCUCCUCCAUGGCCACCUCCUUUGGUCCUGCUUGACUCUGCAAUGAUAAUUUGAUUAGGUUCUCAAUGAAUAACAUGAGGGUGGAUUAAAAAGAAAGAACCAGUAUUCUUGAAUCUUUGGUGAACUCCAUUGAAAAAAAUCUUUGUGGAUUUGAACCUUUAGAAAGUUUGAGCCAACGAAAGUUCUCCUUGGGUGAAAGCCAACUUGAAAAUAUAUCUCAAGUUCCUGACAUGAAAGAAGCCUAUAAAGCCAGGGAGUCUUCCCAGGACCAGUCCAGGCCUGCCUUCUGAGUAUCAAGAACAUUUUGCAUUGUACUGUCAGGUCUUCGUGAGAUGCUAAUAGGAGGAAAGGACUGUGUAUUUUCGUGAGAUGCUAAUAGGAGGAAAGGACUGUGUAUUUUCAUGAGAUGCUAAUACGAGGAAAGGACUGUGUAUUUUGAAGCAGUCAAGUUCUCCAAAAGUCCUGCCUUUUAUAGGCAUUAGUUGUAAGCAAGCCUGGGAGCAGAAUGAAGCAUAUGCAGAAGGCUUCAGGAUCAGUUUCAUUGCUUCAUUAAAGCUUUUAUAGUAUUUUCUUUUAGUGCGGUAUGAACCGAAUGAACUACAAGGUGCCCUCAGUCAAGGGAUGACUUGGAGGAAGCAGGAGGAGAAGAAGGAGGAAGAGGGAAAUGGGAGAAUGAUUGGCAUUGAUGUCUGAGGAUGAUUUAAAAUAAGGGCAAACUAACUCAUGACGGAUGGAAUCAGGCAUCAGAAUGAGUGUCUGUUCACACUGCUUUUGCCUAAUCUGCUGUAGAAGAAGAAGAAGAUGAUGAUGAUGACAGUGAUGAUGAUGAUGAGAUGAUGGAGAUGAUGAUGAUGAUGGAGAUGAUGAUGAUGGUGAUUAUGAUGAUGGAGAUAAUAGCACUGGUGAAAGGUUGCCCUGCUGACUGGGCACAUAAAGAAUAAAAGGUAAUGGCUAAAGAAACUGGAGGGCUCCAGCAAUGCUCCAGAGUGCUAGAGAAUAAUAUUCAGAAGGCUAUCCACAACUGGGAAAGAAGAGGGAUUUUGAACCUUCAUGUCUGUAAGAAUAGCUAAUGGGUGCCUGCAUUACAUGCUGGGCCACCCUGUUAGUCCCUUGUUUACAAGAUGUUUAGUCCAAGAAGUUGGAAAACUCAGUACUCUCAUAUCCAAGGGAGAUGACUACUAAACUUUAAGGUUGGAAGAGGCAACUCUGAACUUUUGUUUCCUAGACCUAUUGCUACCACGGGCCAGUUAGCAGCUUGCAGAGUAUAUUCCUGUCCAUGAAUACCAGUCCAUAGAGGUGAAACCACAAAUACUAGUUCACAGGGAUGAAGACUCUAGUAUCUAAGUCAGGCUUCAGGGAACUAAGUCAACUCAUCAAACUGGGCAGGGGCAUGACCUGCUUAACUGGACUCUCAGUUGUAAAGCGUAUGUAUAUGAUAACCAACGAGAUUUAUCAGUGACAUCUCUGCAAUUGUCAGCUCAUCAUUUGUGCACAGAUUUGGCCACAUUGGAACAGGAUGGAGCGAAUUCUUUCUGAGCAUGCACUUCAUAUGAAACUAUGGACAUUCAUCCUCAUCAGCAUAGGAUGAAAUGUCUUUUGAAGACAAGAGAACCAUCACAGGAAUAUGGUAGCAAAAAACCUAGAAAAUAACAGUGUACCCAAGCAUCUUUCCAGGACCCUCCCAUGGAUCUGUGGGAGAAUA
rnacentral:lncRNA from 1 species